rnacentral:ncRNA from 2 species
CUCACCAUCCAGAGCGACCGAGAGACCUGGCUCGAUGACGUCGCAGCAACCCCGGAGGGUGCUUCCGCCAGGACCGAUGGGAG